UACAGAGACUGCAAGCGUUAUCCGGAUUCACUGGGCGUAAAGGGUGCGCAGGCGGCCAAGUGUGUGAGGCGUGAAAGCCUGGGGCUUAACUCCAGAAUUGCACCUCAAACUACAUGGCUAGAGCAUUGGAGAGGGUAGCAGAAUUCACGGUGUAGCAGUGAAAUGCGUAGAUAUCGUGAGGAAUACCAGAGGCGAAGGCGGCUACCUGGACAAUUGCUGACGCUCAGGCACGAAAGCGUGGGGAGCAAAAGGG
rnacentral:rRNA from 1 species